CCUACGGUAGGCAGCAGUAGGGACUCUUCCACAAUGGGCGCAAGCCUGAUGGAGCAACACCGCGUGAGUGAAGAAGGGUUUCGGCUCGUAAAGCUCUGUUGUUGGAGAAGAACGUGCGUGAGAGUAACUGUUAACGCAGUGACGGUAUCCAACCAGCAAGUUCCGGCUAACUACUUGCCAGCAGCCGCGGUAGUACGUAGGUGGCAAGAGUUAUCCGGAUAUAUUGGGCGUAAAGCGAGCGCAGGCGGCCGCUUAGGUCUGAUGUGAAAGCCUUCGGCUUAACCGAAGAAGUGCAUCGGAAACCGGGCGACUUGAGGGCAGAAGAGGACAGUGGAACUCCAUGUGUAGCGGUGGAAUGCGUAGAUAUAUGGAAGAACACCAGUGGCGAAGGCGGCUGUCUGGUCUGCAACUGACGCUGAGGCUCGAAAGCAUGGGUAGCGAACAGGAUUAGAUACCCGAGUAGUC
rnacentral:rRNA from 1 species